rnacentral:miRNA from 1 species
GCUUUUAGAGCUCAGCAUCUU